GAUGAACGCUGGCGGCGUGCCUAAUACAUGCAAGUCGGGCGAACGGACGAGAAGCUUGCUUCUCUGAUGUUAGCGGCGGACGGGUGAGUAACACGCGGAUAACCUACCUAUAAGACUGGGAUAACUUCGGGAAACCGUAGCUAAUACCGGAUAAUAUUUUGAACCGCAUGGUUCAAAAGUGAAAGACGGUCUUGCUGUCACUUAUAGAUGGAUCCGCGCUGCAUUAGCUAGUUGGUAAGGUAACGGCUUACCAAGGCAACGAUGCAUAGCCGACCUGAGAGGGUGAUCGGCCACACUGGAACUGAGGCACGGUCCAGACUCCUACGGGAGGCAGCAGUAGGGAAUCUUCCGCAAUGGGCGAAAGCCUGACGGAGCAACGCCGCGUGAGUGAUGAAGGUCUUCGGAUCGUAAAACUCUGUUAUUAGGGAAGAACAUAUGUGUAAGUAACUGUGCACAUCUUGACGGUACCUAAUCAGAAAGCCACGGCUAACUACGUG
rnacentral:rRNA from 1 species